GUGACCUCAAAUCAGGUAGGACUACCCGCUGAACUUAAGCAUAUCAAUAAGCGGAGGAAAAGAAACUAACAAGGAUUCCCCUAGUAACUGCGAGUGAAGCGGGAAAAGCUCAAAUUUAAAAUCUGUCAGUCUUUGGCUGUCCGAGUUGUAAUCUAGAGAAGUGUUAUCUGCGCUGGACCAUGUAUAAGUCUCCUGGAAUGGAGCGUCGUAGAGGGUGAGAAUCCCGUCUUUGACAUGGACUGCCAGGGCUUUGUGAUGCGCUCUCAAAGAGUCGAGUUGUUUGGGAAUGCAGCUCAAAAUGGGUGGUAAAUUCCAUCUAAAGCUAAAUAUUGGCGAGAGACCGAUAGCGAACAAGUACCGUGAGGGAAAGAUGAAAAGAACUUUGGAAAGAGAGUUAAACAGUACGUGAAAUUGCUGAAAGGGAAACGCUUGAAGUCAGUCGCGUUGUCUAGGGAUCAACCUUGCUUUUGCUUGGUGUACUUUCUGGUUGACGGGUCAGCAUCAAUUUUGACUAUUGGAAAAAGAUUAAGGGAAUGUGGCAUCUUUGGAUGUGUUAUAGCCUUUGGUUGCAUACAAUGGUUGGGAUUGAGGAACUCAGCACGCCGCAAGGCCAGGUUUUUAACCAUGUACGUGCUUAGGAUGCUGGCAUAAUGGCUUUAAUCGACCCGUC
rnacentral:rRNA from 1 species